UACGAAGGGUGCAAGCGUUACUCGGAAUUACUGGGCGUAAAGCGUGCGUAGGCGGUGAGUUAAGUCUGCCGUGAAAGCCCCGGGCUCAACCUGGGAAUGGCGAUGGAUACUGGCUCGCUAGAGUGCGGUAGAGGAGAGUGGAAUUCCCGGUGUAGCAGUGAAAUGCGUAGAGAUCGGGAGGAACAUCAGUUGCGAAGGCGGCUCUCUGGACCAGCACUGACACUGAGGCACGAAAGCGUGGGGAGCAAACAGG
rnacentral:rRNA from 1 species